CAGCUGACAGGUUUUUUUAUAAACUCAUGUAAAUAGGGACCUGGGAGCGUCCAGAGCGAGCCUGCCCUCACAGCGAGGCUGAAAGGGAAGGCUGAUGUCAGUUCUUCUUUCUUCUGCUGUCACUCCAGCGGAUUGGAAUGGAUACAAGAGGAUCGUGACCCCUCUGGCGCCCUCACAUACAAACACCUCUGACUCGUUUUGGCAAUGGCUGAUUGUGAUGGCAGUUCCCCUUCACCUGGGGUGUCUGGGUUGGCACAGUUUCCAAGCUUGAAACAACAUCAGCAAUGAAGAACUGAAAGUAUUGCAUCUGAAAAAAGAAGAAUCAGAGCAUUUCAAGAACUUACAGAAUUGCACAAACUAAUUGUGAACUCAUAAGAAGAAACGUCUUGUUUGGCCACAGGAAUCGUUCACCUACACUAUCUGAGGGUCCUCAAAUCUCAAGUGUUUUAUGAUUUUGUACACAAUCAAAAGCUAAAAGAUCAAUCUACUUUGGGAAUAUCAUCCAUCCUUCCAUGAGCGUAAAGCAAAAGGAUGUCUAUGAUAAAUCCAGUGACAUGAGCACACCAGCCUGAGCAGACAUGCAACGGUCCUGCAACUUUUAUUUUUGCCUUUCAAACUCUUAUAUGCAGUGGCCUGUCAUUUUCUCUGCUCUUCAAAAUAGACAUCGCUGCUUUAGUUGUUGGCUUUGGCAUGCCGGUGACAGAAAUAGAUCAUCAACCUUUUUCCAGUGACUUUGUUGAGUACGUGUCUCACUUGUGUGUGAAUGCUGCCAAUGAGGAAUCAAUUCAGCUGCCUUUGUGUGAGAUCACUCUCAGCUGUGGUCAAAAACAAUAUUUCAGCACUAAUUUCAGCACUGUUACCACAGAAUAAACGCACGUCCUGUUUAUUCACACAACAGUCAGUGUCGUGUAGGGCAGAACAUUCCUAUAGAGCUGUGAUGCUGCUUAAACACUGAUGUCAAAUGGAAUAUGCCACCAACAGGAGUCCAGGCACAAUGAGUUGGCAUUUUUCACCCUGACUCAAUCAUGGAUGAUUCACAUGGACAUAAAUAUGUGAACCAGGCUCUGAGCUUAACAAAAUCUAUACCAAAAUGACUGCCUGUAAAACCAGAGCUCAGUGCCUGCUGUUUCAAGUAUGAAUGCUCUUCUUUUUUUUUUUUUUUUUUUGAUGUGGCAUAAAAAUACAAUUGUGGAGUUUUUCUUGUUAUCUUAGAAUAUAUGGUAGCUACUAAACUAAAACAGGCCUAAGGCCUCAUUUAUAAAGACAUUUCCUAAAUGUUCCUACAAUUCAUAUAAAAGUUCCAUCCUUUAUUGUAUUUCUUUCAGAAAGCCCACAAAUAUCCUUAGAUUUAUUCACUUACUACAUUAACAUGCACAUCAUAGUCUGGUUCAAAAAAUAGUUUCACAAAAUGUGUACUUGACAUAGUAAAACAUCCUGUUAUCUUAUUCUGUAGGUUUUUGGUUUUUACAUUUUUCUGAAAAUAAGACUUGUCGAAUUUAUAUCAAAAUUCAUUUGAAUGUAAACGUUGUCACUCAUUUAUUCAGGAGUAGCUCAUUUGCAUCACCUAAAGUCAUCAGAAUAUUCAGCGCAAAAAUAGGGGGCAUAGACAUACUGAUCAGAAGGCGAACAUUUUCACAGCAGUUUCUUUCUUUAUAAAUUUCCGUUUGUUCGUCAUGUAGGAUCAAAUCCAUGGGAUUUAGCAUCACAUCAUAUGUGCAUUUUAUAAAUGAGGCCUUGAUCAGAAUAGUGUGACAUUUAUGCAAAUCAGAGUAUUACGGUAGCGACCAAGCCAGUUGUUUUAACAUGGUAUGGUUGAUGCAAAACUUUUUGUACAUAAUCAAUACACAACAAUAUUGUUAAUUUCACCCUUCAACUGCUAGUCCAGGGUGAUUAUUGUGGAGUAUCUACUUGACAAGAUUUUGGUGUGCUGCUUUUUGAUCAAUAUGCGAUUGAAUUAAAAUCCUGAACACCCUUGGGCUUUUAAAAAACCAUCUGUUAACAGCCAUUGAAUACACAGUAUCUAUGUUUAACCUCAAUGAUGUCUCUGUUGAAAGUUAUAAAAGAAACAAUCUGUCAUUUCCUAGGAGCUAGACUACUGAAUGGCUGUUUUCUGUAUGUGAUGUCUUAGUUUCCAGUAAAAAUGUCUAAACAUCCUUAAGAUAAAUUGCCUUGAAAGGCAAGUCCUAAAAUAGUAUUUACUGGAAAACAAGACAAAAAUACUGAUUAAUAAAAUGAUUUGUUGCAGUGCUGUUGGCUAUAGUACAAAAGGACUCAGGAUUACAGGAACCCGUCUGGACAUGAUAUUGCGAAAAAUACCAGAAAGCUACUUCAGAAACACAAAGCAUAAGGACAAAGUACACUACAGACAUAAAAGUGUGAUUCAUUUGAUGUGAAGUAUGGAGUACACAGAUCUUUGAGAACAAACUCAGGCAGUUAAGAUGUAUCAGUUCUUGUUUCACCUCAUCUCAGUCUUUAGCCUUUCACUGAUCAUGUAAACUCAAAUAUCAGUCUUGCUGUCCAUGAAAUGGAAUGCAAUUUCAACUACAAAUGGAUUACAAAAUAUUUUAUGGUCAGCACAUGCUGUGCGCUAGAAAUGAUAUAUUUAUUAUGAAAAAAUAUAUUAAAUAGAAACUAUAAAAGCAUAUAUGUAAAAUGAAAGAAUUGUGAUUUUCCUGUGAAAUGGUGAGAAAUGAAGUCUGUACUGUGCACAUUUGUAAAUGCACUUAAUAAUGACUAUUUUCACUUUCAAACUAUAAAU
ensembl:lncRNA